AUGCUACUGCAGCUUGAUGCUAAACUCGUGGGAUUGUGGACCAUAUUUGGAACAUGGAACCAGGAUAUUUUCACUCAUACAGGACUGAAAUUGUUGAUAUUAUGUGAUGAUGCUGAGGAUGUGAAAACGAAGCGUGUUGUUUGCAGGAGCAGGAAAGUUGUAACGACGUUUUCUCAAUUUACUAGGCAAGUUUACCAUGUCGUUUUGUCUUCCAAUUUUGCUAAAAUAAUUUAA